GAUGAACGCUGACGGCGUGCCUAAUACAUGCAAGUCGAGCGAACAGACGAGGAGCUUGCUCCUCUGACGUUAGCGGCGGACGGGUGAGUAACACGUGGAUAACCUACCUAUAAGACUGGGAUAACUUCGGGAAACCGGAGCUAAUACCGGAUAAUAUAUUGAACCGCAUGGUUCAAUAGUGAAAGACGGUUUUGCUGUCACUUAUAGAUGGAUCCGCGCCGCAUUAGCUAGUUGGUAAGGUAACGGCUUACCAAGGCAACGAUGCGUAGCCGACCUGAGAGGGUGAUCGGCCACACUGGAACUGAGACACGGUCCAGACUCCUACGGGAGGCAGCAGUAGGGAAUCUUCCGCAAUGGGCGAAAGCCUGACGGAGCAACGCCGCGUGAGUGAUGAAGGUCUUCGGAUCGUAAAACUCUGUUAUUAGGGAAGAACAAAUGUGUAAGUAACUAUGCACGUCUUGACGGUACCUAAUCAGAAAGCCGCGGCUAACUACGUG
rnacentral:rRNA from 1 species